GACGAACGCCGGCGGCGUGCUUAACACAUGCAAGUCGAACGAUGAAGCCGGAGCUUGCUCUGGUGAAUUAGUGGCGAACGGGUGAGUAACACGUGAGUAACCUGCCCUUGACUCUGGGAUAACUGCGGGAAACUGUAGCUAAUACCGGAUACGACCCUCGGAGGCAUCUCCUGGGGGUGGAAAGAAUUUCGGUCAAGGAUGGACUCGCGGCCUAUCAGCUAGUUGGUGAGGUAAAGGCUCACCAAGGCGACGACGGGUAGCCGGCCUGAGAGGGUGACCGGCCACACUGGGACUGAGACACGGCCCAGACUCCUACGGGAGGCAGCAGUGGGGAAUAUUGCACAAUGGGCGCAAGCCUGAUGCAGCAACGCCGCGUGAGGGAUGACGGCCUUCGGGUUGUAAACCUCUUUUAGCAGGGAAGAAGCGAAAGUGACGGUACCUGCAGAAAAAGCACCGGCUAACUACGUGCCAGCAGCCGCCGUAA
rnacentral:rRNA from 1 species